AAACAAGAGUUUAUGAUGAAGACAGUCACGUGGUUGAUGACGUACUUAUCAUGCGCACCAAAAGGAUUUGGUCAGCUUGGUGGGAUCUAUCCCUCCGUCACCCAACAGUGGCACAAAGGUCACCUUCAGUCGGCUGAACAGUGUGGUGAUCAUAGUGUUCGUUACAGAAACAUUGAAAGCGUAGGGGUAUCGUCGUCGCAAUUGUCACUGUCUGAUACACAUGAAAGCACUGUAGAAAUUCAAACAGAUUUAAAUUUAACCGACUCUAUUGAAACUAAAUAUUCAUCACAAUACAUUACAUGUAGAGACAUGUCGAGACAAUCUAUUGCUGUUGAAGCAUUGAAGAAGACUGAUGUCGAUAAAAUAAACAGGAUCAGUAUGCAAAAUUUAAAGCUUUCCUCAAUAUUUCCAGAGAUGUUCUGGAGAAAUAAUAUUGAAUCAGUUGAAAACUUACCAAGUGGUUCUUCGUUCGAGAUAAGAUUUGACACAUUUGAGGAAGAAUUUGCCAGAAGUUUGCGUUUCCCACAAUUUAUGAGACAAAAAAGGUUUAAGGAAUAUCAUCGUACAAUCAUGGCUGAAGACGCACUAACUCAAAAAUUCAUAAGACCUGGGAGCCACAAGGGCAAAGGGAUUGCUGUGUUCACCAGCGGAGGUGAUUCUCAAGGAAUGAAUGCUGCUGUACGGGCAGUUGUACGGAUGGGUAUUUAUCUUGGAUGCAGAGUGUAUUUUAUUCGGGAAGGUUAUCAAGGCAUGGUAGACGGUGGAAAACACAUUGAAGAAGCUACAUGGUCAUCUGUAUCUUGCAUCAUUCAUAGAGGUGGCACAGUGAUAGGCUCCGCUCGAUGCCAAGAAUUCAGAGAGCGCCCGGGUCGUCGAAAAGCUGCUAAAAACUUGGUCAAUCUUGGCAUACCUAAUUUAGUAGUGAUCGGUGGAGACGGUUCCCUCACGGGCGCCAAUCUCUUCAAGGAAGAAUGGCCGGAGCUGUUGAAAGAACUGGUUGCGUCUGGGGACAUAACUGCCGAACAGAGCGAGAAGAAUAAGCAGUUGCAUAUUGUCGGUCUAGUAGGUUCCAUUGACAACGAUUUCUGCGGUACGGAUAUGACGAUCGGUACCGACUCCGCGUUGCAUCGUAUCAUUGAAAGUAUAGAUGCUAUAGUUAGUACAGCUUAUUCUCAUCAGAGAACAUUUAUAAUGGAAGUUAUGGGUCGUCAUUGUGGUUAUCUGGCUCUGGUGGCAGCUAUAUGUUGCGAAGCUGAUUAUGUUUUCAUCCCAGAAUGGCCACCCGAGCAAGAGUGGCCCAACAAGCUGUGCAAAAAAUUAUUGCAGGAAAGACUUACUGGUCAACGGCUUAAUAUUAUUAUUGUGGCUGAGGGAGCUGUCGACAGAAAUGGCGAUCCGAUUACUGCUGAGAAAGUGCACAAAGUAGUCGUGGACAAAUUACAGCAGGAUACGAGAGUUACCGUUUUAGGUCAUGUACAAAGAGGUGGCAACGCUUCAGCUUUUGAUAGAGUUUUGGGGUGCCGGAUGGGAGCUGAAGCUGUGAUGGCUUUAAUGGAAGCAACAUUUGACACAGAAGCAUGUGUCGUUACAUUGGACGGUAACCAAGCUGUGAGAUUGCCACUUAUGGAAUGUGUGCGUCGUACGCAAGCUGUGGCGCAAGCUAUGGCUAAUAAGAAUUGGGAUCUUGCCGUUCAACUGCGAGGAAAGGGAUUUGAACGAAAUUUGGAAACUUACAAAAUGUUGACUCGUUUGAAAGCUCCAGAUUUAGAUCACGAUGUAAAUAAGGAAGUUAAUGGCCGUACAUUAUCGAAGCAAUACACUUUAUGUGGACAAGAUAAUUAUACGUUGGCGGUUAUGCAUAUAGGAUCACCGUCUUGCGGCAUGAAUGCAGCAGUUCGUUCCUUCGUGAGAAAUUGUAUUUAUCGAGGCGAUAAGGUGUACGGUAUCUGCGACGGAGUGUUGGGUCUCAUGGCCGGUAGAUUAAAAUUAAUGGAUUGGCCGUCUGUCACUGGCUGGGUUGCGGAAGGCGGCGCAAAAUUGGGAACGAAACGCUCACCACCUCAGGAAGAUCAGUUACCCCAAAUCGCUCAGAAACUGAAGGAAUUUGGAAUUCAAGCGUUGCUCAUUAUAGGUGGAUUUGAGGGUUUUCAAACUUGUCUCACAUUUUACAAAGCGAGAAAUAAAUUCGAGGAGUUCCAGAUUCCUAUCGCUAUGAUUCCUGCAACUAUCAGCAAUAAUGUACCGGGCACUGAAUUUUCAUUGGGUUGUGAUACAGCGUUGAAUGAAAUUACAGAGAUCUGCGAUCGUAUUCGGCAAUCGGCGCAAGGUACUAAGCGCCGUGUGUUUAUCAUCGAAACGAUGGGCGGUUUUUGCGGAUACUUAGCGACCGUCGCUGGUCUAGCUGGUGGUGCAGAUGCGGCGUAUAUCUAUGAGGAGAAAUUUAACAUUAAAGAUUUGAAUCAAGAUGUCAUUUCGAUGGCGGCAAAGAUGUCGGAGGGUGUCGAGAGAGGUCUCAUUAUCAGGAAUGAAAACGCCAAUGAAAAUUACAAUACAGAAUUUAUGUAUAGACUUUUCAGCGAGGAAGGAAAGGGUUUAUUCAGUUGUAGGAGAAACAUACUCGGUCAUAUGCAACAAGGUGGCUCACCGACGCCUUUCGAUCGUAACUUGGGAACAAAGAUGGGCUCUAAGGCGGUGGAAUGGUUCAGCGAUCAAUUAAGAAAAUGUACUAGUCCUGAUGGCAAAACGGUCACUACAGCGGUGAACAGCGCAGUAAUGCUCGGUAUUAUUAAACGUCAAUAUAGAUUUACACCAUUCACGGAACUUAUGGAAGCUACUGAUUUUGAGCAUCGCAUUCCGAUGUAUCAAUGGUGGAUGAAACUACGUCCUUUGCUGAAGGUAUUGGCGAAGCAUGAAUCAACGUACGAAGAAGAAGGCCUUUAUAUGACUGUUGAAGAGAUGGAUGGAAAAGAUGAGCAGAAGGAUCCGCCUCUUGUAUAACUCGCGAAAUUAAGCAUCUAAAGUAUUAUGUAGAUAACGUGGACACGCGAGAUUUCUAAUUACGAUGUUUCUAAUCGUAUGGCGAGUAGAUAUCAAUGAUUAAAAGUAUUGCAAUAUUGUAUGACUUAUGAUAAUUUUAUUGCUAUUUGAACGUGAAACAAAUCUUAUAUAUUUAUUCAAUCAUGUGCAUUAAGAAAAUUUGGCUUUUCUUUUUCGUGUUAUUAGUUUUGUACAUCGCUGACUCUUACGACACGGCAUGCGCUGCGUGUAUUUGUUGCUAUUUAUUUAAGACCUGUACGCAAGUUUAAAUGUAAAUAAUUUGGACGGUGUUGUAGCAGGUAUAAUAGAGAAUAUAGGAAAUCAUGUUCUUUUGUUUUUUCUUUUUUUAGAAAUCAUGUUGGUAAAUUGAACAUUUUCCAACUCGGGUAAGAAAUAGGUACAAAGGUACAAAGAUAAUAUGUGAAGCGCAAAGAUAAGAUAUCUGAUGUGUAACGUCGGUGCAGCUUGUUGAUAAAGACGGUAUUUCUCGUUAGCAACUCGGAUGUCUAAAACAUAUCUAAGAACAAGCAAUCUUAGAUUUGCACCAUUUGGUACAACAGCGAAACAAAAAUAUCCAAAAUUAAUCGCAGAAUUGUGUUAGAGCAGUGUCAGGUAAUUAAAUUAAAGAAAGGAAAAUUCUUUUGUAAAAGAAAGUUUAAUCAACUUUCAUGUGAAUAUAUGUAAUUUUUUGUUGUUUUGAUCAUACAAGCUAAAUCAUAUAUACUCAUCAAACCAUGUUGCAUUACGAAAACAAAACAUCAUUGUACAUGUAGAAAUAUCAGAUUUUAUUAGAUUUGCACAGUAUGUCACAAGAGAUUUAAAAAAUAAAAUAUUUUAAAGUAA
rnacentral:misc_RNA from 1 species